UUUCCGGUUGAUCCUGCCGGAGGUUACUGCUAUCGGGGUCCGAUUAAGCCAUGCGAGUUGAGAGGGGUAAGCCCUCGGCAUACUGCUCAGUAACACGCGGACAACCUGCCCUUGGGUCUGGGAUAACCCCGGGAAACUGGGACUAAUACCGGAUAGAUCAGAGAUACUGGAAUGUUCUCUGGUCCAAAACUCCGGUGCCCAAGGAUGGGUCUGCGGCCUAUCAGGUAGUAGUGGGUGUAACGUACCUACUAGCCAGCGACGGGUAAGGGUUGUGAGAGCAAGAUCCCUGAGAUGGAUUCUGAGACAUGAAUCCAGGCCCUACGGGGUGCAGCAGGCGCGAAAACUUUACACUGCGGGAAACCGCGAUAAGGGGACCCCGAGUGCCAGCACCUAGUGCUGGCAGUCAUACUGUCAACAUACCAGUGGUUAGCAAGGUCCGGGCAAGAUCGGUGCCAUCCGCCGCGGUAACACCUGCGGCCCGAGUGGUAACCGUCAUUAUUGGGUUUAAAGGGUCCGUAUCCGGCUUAUUAAGUCUUUUGGGAAAUAUGGCGACUCAAUCSUCAGGCGUCCAAGAGAUACUGGUAGGCUUGGGACCGGGAGAGGUGGGAGGUACUCCAGGGGUAGGGGUGAAAUCUAGUAAUCCUUGCGGGACCUCCGAUCGCGAAGGCAUUCCACCAGAACGGGUCCGACGGUGAGGGACGAAAGCUGGGGGCACGAACCGGAUUAGAUACCCGAGUAGUCCCAGCUGUAAACGAUGCUCGCUAGGUGUCAGGUGCGGUGCGACCGCAUCUGGUGCCGCAGUGAAAACUUGAAGCGAGUCACCUGGGAAGUACGGUCGCAAGGCUGAAACUUAAAGGAAUUGGCGGGAAGGGC
rnacentral:rRNA from 1 species